AGUCUGCCUUCCCUCUGAUCCCUGCUAAUGUUAAUGACCUUGCAAGGUCAUUGUGAAAAUUAAAAAUAAUAUGUAGAGUUCGUCUCAGCCCAACCUAGUUGUUCAGUAAAGGGUGGCUAUGACCUGCCAUGACUUUUAUGACUGUAGCUCCAGCUGGCCACCCGAGCGCUGGGAACUUGGCCCCCGGGUGCGCGAGGGGGCUCACCGAGACACUCAUGCAAGGACAUUUGUUGCAGCAAAAUUGGAAAACCAGGAGAAAGGGAAGUUUACAAUCUCACCGGGCCUCAAAGCCUCUAAGCAAGUGCUCAGCAGAAGAUCAUCAGGUUCUCUGCGGACACAAACCCAGCUUCCGGGUCUCAGUGUGGUUUUGAUGUAUGAGAGGACAGAGCACAGAGGGACUCUCUUCUUAGGAACACAGGUCCCCUGACGCCAGCUUUCCAUGCGUGACCACGCACCCUAGGCUUGAGCAGCGCAGUGUGGAGAAGUUCACCAGGAC